rnacentral:rRNA from 1 species
CCUUUGUACACACCGCCCGUCGCUACUACCGAUUGAAUGGCUCAGUGAGGCCUUGGGAUUGGCUUAGGAGGGUUGGCAACGACCCCCCAGAGCCGAAAACUUGGUCAAACUCGGUCAUUUAGAGG